rnacentral:rRNA from 1 species
GACGAACGCUGGCGGCGUGCUUAACACAUGCAAGUCGAACGGAAAGGCCCUGCUUUUGUGGGGUGCUCGAGUGGCGAACGGGUGAGUAACACGUGAGUAACCUGCCCUUGACUUUGGGAUAACUUCAGGAAACUGGGGCUAUACCGGAUAGGAGCUCCUGCUGCAUGGUGGGGGUUGGAAAGUUUCGGCGGUUGGGGAUGGACUCGCGGCUUAUCAGCUUGUUGGUGGGGUAGUGGCUUACCAAGGCUUUGACGGGUAGCCGGCCUGAGAGGGUGACCGGCCACAUUGGGACUGAGAUACGGCCCAGACUCCUACGGGAGGCAGCAGUGGGGAAUAUUGCACAAUGGGCGGAAGCCUGAUGCAGCAACGCCGCGUGCGGGAUGACGGCCUUCGGGUUGUAAACCGCUUUCGCCUGUGACGAAGCGUGAGUGACGGUAAUGGGUAAAGAAGCACCGGCUAACUAUGUG